rnacentral:rRNA from 1 species
AUACGGGAGGCAGCAGUGGGGAAUCUUGGACAAUGGGCGCAAGCCUGAUCCAGCAAUGCCGCGUGGGUGAAGACGGCCUGCGGGUUGUAAAGCCCUUUUGGUGGGGAGGAAAGCCCUGGGGUGAACAGGCUCAGGGGGUGACGCUACCCGCCGAAGAAGCACCGGCCAACUCCGUGCCAGCAGCCGCGGUAAGACGGAGGGUGCGAGCGUUAAUCGGAAUUACUGGGCGUAAAGCGCACGUAGGCGGUGCUGUCAGUCCGUUGUGAAAGCCCCGGGCUUAACCUGGGAAUGGCAAGGGCGACGGCAGCACUGGAGUGUAACAGAGGACCGUGGAAUUCCCGGUGUAGCGGUGAAAUGCGUAGAGAUCGGGAAGAACACCGAUGGCGAAGGCAGCGGUCUGGGUUAACACUGACGCUGAGGGGCGACAGCGUGGGGAGCAAACAGGAUUAGAUACCCCGGUAGA